rnacentral:rRNA from 1 species
AGUGAACGCUGGCGGUAGGCCUAACACAUGCAAGUCGAACGGCAGCACAGUAAGAGCUUGCUCUUACGGGUGGCGAGUGGCGGACGGGUGAGGAAUACAUCGGAAUCUACUUUUUCGCGGGGGUUAACGUAGGGAAACUUACGCUAAUACCGCAUACGACCUACGGGUGAAAGCAGGGGAUCUUCGGACCUUGCGCGAUUGAAUGAGCCGAUGUCGGAUUAGCUAGUUGGCGGGGUAAAGGCCCACCAAGGCGACGAUCCGUAGCUGGUCUGAGAGGAUGAUCAGCCACACUGGAACUGAGACACGGUCCAGACUCCUACGGGAGGCAGCAGUGGGGAAUAUUGGACAAUGGGCGCAAGCCUGGUCCAGCCAUACCGCGUGGGUGAAGAAGGCCUUCGGGUUGUAAAGCCCUUUUGUUGGGAAAGAAAAGCAGCAGGUUAAUACCCCGCUGUUCUGACGGUACCCAAAGAAUAAGCACCGGCUAACUUCGUG